rnacentral:lncRNA from 1 species
UUCUGGGAACUCAUUCCCUUGCCCUAGGAUGUCCCUCCCCAAUUCUUUCAAGAGGACCCCGGGGUGGGCUCAGCUGAAGUCAGCAAUAAUGGGGGCUUGCCUCCCUCCAGGAUCCUGGGCUGUGUUCUGUCAUUGGGGCUGCAGAGUCCAGAAGCCGCUGCCCUAAGUGGCCCCAGGGGGGCUGCUGUCUUCUAGUGCCUGCCAGCGCCAAGGACCCAGGUCGGCCUGAGGACCCAGCCUCCUGAGGGGCAGCGCCUUCCAUCACUCCUGGACACCUGAGCAGGCUCCGAUGGAGUGAGGGGGGCAGUUACUUCCCAGGACAAGCCAUGGAGCACCCAGAAUCCAAAUCUGGGCCAGUCUAUCCUGGACUUCCUGGGAACUCAGGAAUAAAUACGGUGCUCUUUCUCCAAGUUACUUUCUCAACAAUAUCUGGAAACGUCAGCCUUCUCUGUUGAUUUUGCAUCAUCUCUGGAUUUUUUUUCCAGCUUUAUGAAGGCAUAAUUGACAUAUAACAUUGUGUAAGUUUAAGAGUCUUCAAAUCAGAUUCCCCACAAGGUGUGCAUGCUGCAUUUGGUUGUUAUGUUGGAGGCAUUCUGAAGUAUCACAGCUUUCUACCAUUUGAAAUGAGAGGGCCAGCCUGAGAAGCCAUGUGCUCACCUGAAAUUAGUUAUUUUACAGAAGAGAUCCAAACUGCCAGUUCUGUAUGUCCACUACAAGCCUGGAGUGUGCAGGCACCAAGUAGCAAGGAUAGACCAUGCCCUUCUGCAUCAAAUAUUUGAUGUCAAACUAUGUGAUAUCCCAUUUAUCAUUAAUUAAUCACCCUAGAAUAAUCUUGUGUCCAAUGACUGGUCUUGCCAGGUACAAUAUGCAAGGAAAAACAUCACCUCGUGCACUGUGGUAAACAAUGUACUACACAUAAAAUGAAGUGGGAUGUUGACAAGGCUCAUAAGCU